rnacentral:rRNA from 1 species
UACGUAGGGGGCAAGCGUUGUCCGGAUUUACUGGGCGUAAAGAGCGCGUAGGCGGCCUGGUAGGUCAGCUGUGAAAACUCGAGGCUCAACCUCGAGACGCCGGUUGAAACCAUCAGGCUAGAGUCCGGAAGAGGAGAGUGGAAUUCCCGGUGUAGCGGUGAAAUGCGCAGAUAUCGGGAAGAACACCCGUGGCUAAGGCGGCUCUCUAGUACGGUACUGACGCUGAGACGCGAAAGCGUGGGGAGCGAACAGG